rnacentral:misc_RNA from 1 species
GUGAGAUAUAAAGUUGUGUAGCACUGGACAUCUUAUUGCUACAUUCACAAUGGUAUCCAUCUGUAGGGAAGUCAUACUCCUCUUGACUCUGAUCAGUUAUGGGACUUGUUCUGGGUCCAGCAGAGAAGAGUGUGGACAGACGGCUACCUUUACCAACUGUAAAUGUCAGGUUCAUUAUGAAUUCUCCAAGAAUGUGUCUUCUCGUUGGUUUGGAAUUUCGAACAGCAGUAAAGGGGAUUUGACGUGCAUAAAGGAUAAGCAUGGUACAAAAUCCUUCCUUAUCUACAGUAAACAGAACAUGACAGAGAGCUAUCUACUUCAUCUAGUGGAAUCACACGAGGAUAUUUUUAAGAAGUGUUUUAAUGAAACCAACCCUCUAGAAUGUCAUUGUCAACGACUUGAUGAUCCUGGAAUAUCUUCCAACGUUUCUUUCCUGCUGACCGGUCCAUCAGAUUGCAGCCAACAGACGACGACAGGCUCUCUGAUGUCAGACAGUACAACCGUGUCUGUGUGUCAAAGAAGUACGGAGGGACACAAUAAGACAAACAAUCCUCCAGGUGACCCCUUUGUCGAAUGCCAUAACAAGUUCGUUGCUGAAGGAAAGUCACUGGAGUGUGUCUGCGAGGCUCGUUUUCCUGACAGUCGACCUGAUGACUUCUCACUGACAUGGCCGCCACACUCCAACAACAGCACGAUGAAAGUGAUGAAAGUCACUCGUGAAGAUAACAGUAUGGUCUUCACCUGUCUGAUGACAUGGUGCGGACAUAAGAGGACCACAAACUACACCUGCUCGUGGCCUAUGGCCCAGACAGCGAGCACACAGUGAUACAUGGUCCUAAUAAUUCAUUUAUCACUGAUGGGACACUGAGUCUUAAUUUAACUUGCCUGGCGACUGAGGUGUACCCUGCUCCACGAUAUACCUGGGACGGUCUCACCUGUCAGAAUAACGACUCUGACCAAGGGACCUGUGAGGUAAAGCCAACACCACCAGGUGAUGAUGGACGACAAGUAGAGUGCACAGCGAGAAGCACUGCAGGGGAUUACAAUAAGGGUACAGCAAGGCACAGGUUAUAGCCUCACAUAUCCACCACCAAAACCACCUCUCAUUAACAUCAAGAACCAGACAGUGGGAGACGGCGAUGUCAUUCACUGCAUUGUGUCGGAAGGAAAGCCGUUAGUGACGUCAGUUAACUUCACCUGUUUGACUGACCCCCCACACCACGAUCUGCCAGACACCAGGACAUCAUCAUCUGUGUUCAGUUCCUUGGUCAUCGACAGUACUAAGGUCAAAGAGAAUAUUACUGAAUGUGUCUGCCAUGCUGUCUGGACGCCGAAAGAAGAAUGGUAUUCAAACAGUUCAUCUGUCUUCCUCUUCAUACAAACACAUGACAAAGAUGAUUUAUAUUUCCAAGCGAUUAUUUUUGGAGCAUCUGGAGGUUGUGGUGCUCUAGUUAUUGUCCUCAUCAUCAUCAUUAUAGUCCUCGCCAGAAGUAAGACCCGCAGGAAAGACAUGAAAGAUGGUCGCCACAGCGCAUGGUACACCUAUGAACAUACAGAGGUAAGAGAUCCUCAGGGAACAAACGGGACUGAUGGAGACUACUUCACCCAUAGGUCCGCUAGAGGAAGCGUGAGAGGAUGGCGCUCAUAUACAGUCUCGCAGGUGAAUUCAGAAGCACAUGGACCACAAAACAAUGGCGGGACAUUUCUCGCAACAAGCCCGAGGACACUGGCAACCACUGAUAAAACUGUUUUGCAAGGAAAGGAGCUUCUCAGAGCUGCUCCAACAUAAACUUCUCACUCAAGCCUCCUGUAUCUCAGUGGCAAGGGGAUGAAAACAAUUACACAACUCAAGAGAUGGAGUAUCCUUACGAGGAAGAUGAGUACACUUACUCCGUAUUACGAGAGGAUGAGGGAGACACGUACGACAACAACUCAUCCCGUAUGCCCGAGUGUUUGAGGCAAGAGGUCAGCCAUUGUGAUAUAGAUAACAGCAACUGUCUUGCGGAAGAUGUUCUUGGGAAGGUAUUGUCCACCAGUAGCGAAUUCCGAGACAAUGAAAACAAUGGAACAGGACACACAUCGCCAUUUUUGAGUGGUACAAAAGACACGUCUAAAUUUUUGGACACACGAGCUGAACUAAUCAAGGUAUUGGAGACCAGAGCAAAGAACCUUACGGGCCAAUCAAAAACGAAUGUCAACAAAGGAAGUUUAGAAAACAUCUUCGUUGAACAAUCCAGGAGAAAACCGACUCCUAAACCCAGGGCCGAUCUUCUUGGAAGGAGGGUUUCGAGGAGCUGCUCCAACCUUUGCUUUGAACUACAGAAGCUGACGCCCACGCUGACGAGCACUGACGAUAAUGACGAGACAUGGGAGCGAGACAUGUCCACUGAUUAUGAUGACUGUUUCUUUACUCAGAUGCCAUCAGAGAGUAAAACAAACCCACAAGACGGGGAGAAUAAGUGUUGUUAUUUCACUCUCGAAGAAGACGAGUAUUCUACGGGGUAUGUCCCUUCAAAACAAGGGCAGACUACUGGACCUUUGGAUGGGCAGCGCGAGAGAAAGAAACACAUGAAGCCGCAUGGUUCUGCCACUUUACAACCUGGACAAGACAUGUUUGCUGAACUUAUCAAGAGAUUUGAGGGCACAGCAAGCAGCGCCACCAAUCAUACUUCAAACAUCAAAGGAAGCCUAGAAAACAUCUUGCGAGAACAAUCUCGGAAGAAACCAGCUCUUCUCCCUAAACCCGUCCUGCGUGGAAGAAGGUCUUCUCGGAGCUGCUCCAACCUUCUGCUUGGGAUCCAGAAACCGAAACCUUCAGAUGGCGAGAGUUGAACAUCAUCACGAGGCACGAAAGCGAGACAUGCCCAUUGGUUAUGAUGAAUAUUACUGUUCGCAGACAUCAUUCCACGGAUUCCUAGAUAAUGGCACAAUGUCCCGCUCGACCAAGAUUUGUCAACAGGC